rnacentral:rRNA from 1 species
UACGUAGGGUGCGAGCGUUAUUCGGAAUUACUGGGCGUAAAGCGUGCGCAGGCGGUGCACCAAGCUCGAUGUGAAAGCCCCGGGCUUAACCUGGGAAUUGCAUUGAGGACUGGUGUGCUCGAGUGCGGGAGAGGGGGGUGGAAUUCCACGUGUAGCAGUGAAAUGCGUAGAGAUGUGGAGGAACACCGAUGGCGAAGGCAGCGCCCUGGGCCGACACUGACGCUCAGGCACGAAAGCGUGGGGAGCAAACAGG